GGCCAAGUAGCUCAAUUGGUUAGAGCAUUGUCCUGAUAUGCCAAAGUUGCAGGUUUGAUACCUGGCCAGGGCA
rfam:Myotis lucifugus cont2.50808, whole genome shotgun sequence.